AGUCUUUCUCCUGUGGCUGGAGGGGAAUGAAAUGGGUAUUUCCAUGGGUCGGAGAAUUGGGACUCACGACAGACUAAGGCAGAACACGUGAGAAAUGCAAGUGAGGGCUGUCCUUCACCCAGAUGAAGGAGCCCCUCUUUGGUCCCCUGCCAGGGCUUGUUGUCAACCGGUGGAGGUGGUGGAGGAAGGACUUGGUUACUUGUCUGCAAGACUUUUUUGGUGAUGACGAUGUUUUUAUUGCAUGUGGACCAGAAAAAUUUCGUUAUGCCCAAGAUGACUUUGUCCUGGAUCAUAGUGAAUGUCGUGUCCUGAAGUCAUCUUAUUCUCGAUCCUCAGCUGUUAAGUAUUCUGGAUCCAAAAGCCCUGGGCCCUCUCGACGCAGCAAAUCACCAGCUUCAG
rnacentral:lncRNA from 1 species